AACAAUACAAGGGUUUGGAAGCUUCUGCAUGACUUCCCUUUUUUCAAACACACCAAGGGAGUUGAACUGAAAGCAGAGUUAGGACGUAUUUUGGAGAAGAGUGAUGUUGUGCAAGACAUGAAGGAACGAUGGAAUUUGCACAAAUAUAAAAUGCUGUCUGCUAUUAAAAAGACAAAGCAAAAGAAUGUCAGCAGUAUCCUUGAAGAGCUGGAGGAUUGUCCAGAUGAAGAUGAGAAAGAAUAUUAUAUAACUCAUGGACU